rnacentral:rRNA from 1 species
UACGUAGGGUGCGAGCGUUGUCCGGAAUUAUUGGGCGUAAAGAGCUCGUAGGCGGUGUGUCACGUCGGCCGUGAAAACCUGGGGCUUAACUCUGGGCGUGCGGUCGAUACGGGCAUCACUAGAGUUCGGCAGGGGAGACUGGAAUUCCUGGUGUAGCGGUGAAAUGCGCAGAUAUCAGGAGGAAUACCGGUGGCGAAGGCGGGUCUCUGGGCCGAUACUGACGCUGAGGAGCGAAAGCAUGGGGAGCGAACAGG